AUUGAACGCUGGCGGCAGGCUUAACACAUGCAAGUCGAACGAGUGGCGGACGGGUGAGUAAUGUCUGGGAAACUGCCCGAUGGAGGGGGAUAACUACUGGAAACUGUAGCUAAUACCGCAUACCAUCGGAUGUUCCCCGAUGGGAUUAGCUAGUAGGUGGGGUAAAGGCUCAACUAGGCGACGAUCCCUAGCUGGUCGGAGAGGAUGACCAGCCACACUGAGACUGAGACACGGGCCAGACUCCUACGGGAGGCAGCAGUGGGGAAUAUUGCGCAAUGGGCGCAAGCCUGAUGCAGCCAUGCCGCGUGUAUGAAGAAGGCCUUCGGGUUGUAAAGUACUUUCAGCGAGGAGGCGUUACUCGCAGAAGAAGCACCGGCUAACUCCGUGCCAGCAGCCGCGGUAAUAC
rnacentral:rRNA from 1 species